GGGACUGAUUACGUCGGUCUAGCCUGCCCACUGAAAUUAUUUAAAUGGCCGCAGUAUAUUAACUGUGCAAAGGUAGCAUAAUCAUUAGUCUUUUAAUUGAAGGCUGGAAUGAAUGGUUGGACGAGAUAUUAGCUGUUUCAUGAAAAUUUAUAAUAGAAUUUUAUUUUUUAGUCAAAAAGCUAAAAUGAGAUUUAAAGACGAGAAGACCCUAUAAAUCUUUAUAUUUUUAUUUGUUAUAGUUAUAAAGAUUAAUUUUAUUAUAAUGAAUAAAAAUAUUUUAUUGGGGUGAUAUUAAAAUUUAAUAAACUUUUAAUUUAAUAAAACAUUUAUUUAUGAUUUAUUGAUCCAAUUUUAUUGAUUAAAAAUUUAAGUUACUUUAGGGAUAACAGCGUAAUUUUUUUGGAGAGUUCAUAUCGAUAAAAAAGAUUGCGACCUCGAUGUUGGAUUAAGAGAUAAAUUUGGGCGCAGCCGUUCAAAAGUUAAGUCUGUUCGACUUUUAAAUUCUUACGUGAUCUGUUUCCAAAACCGGA
rnacentral:rRNA from 1 species